CUUGUACUCCCUCUGUCCGAAAAUACUUGUCAUUGAAAUGGAUGUAUCUGGAUGUAUUUUAGUUCUAGACACAUCCAUUUUGAUGACAAGUAAUUCCGUACGGAGGGAGUACUUG
rnacentral:pre_miRNA from 1 species